rnacentral:rRNA from 1 species
UGGGGAAUAUUGCGCAAUGGGGGAAACCCUGACGCAGCGACGCCGCGUGCGGGAUGAAGGCCUUCGGGUUGUAAACCGCUUUUGAUUGGGAGCAAGCUUUCGGGUGAGUGUACCUUUCGAAUAAGCGCCGGCUAACUACGUGCCAGCAGCCGCGGUAAUACGUAGGGCGCAAGCGUUAUCCGGAAUUAUUGGGCGUAAAGAGCUUGUAGGCGGUUCGUCGCGUCUGGUGUGAAAGCCCAUCGCUUAACGGUGGGUUUGCGCCGGGUACGGGCGGGCUAGAGUGCAGUAGGGGAGACUGGAAUUCCCGGUGUAACGGUGGAAUGUGUAGAUAUAUGGAAGAACACCAGUGGCGAAAGCGACUUUCUGGUCUGUCACUGACGCUGAGGCCCGAAAGCGUGGGUAGCAAACAGG